GCGGAUGUGGCGGAAUUGGCAGACGCCCUGGAUUUAGGAUCCAGUGACUUCGGUCGUAGGGGUUCGAGUCCCCUCAUCCGCA
rnacentral:tRNA from 1 species